AGGAACUCCAUUUCUGUUGGCCCUUUAGGCAGCCUCAGGAAGUUCCCCUGGCACAUACUGCUACAUGGACAGAAGGAAGGAUGGAUACCUGGGCCACUGGGAUCCUGUGGAUUAGCACUUACGAGAUCCCAGAUGCUGGCGAGGAUGCGGAG